AUUGAACGCUGGCGGAAUGCUUUACACAUGCAAGUCGAACGGCAGCACGGGUGCUUGCACCUGGUGGCGAGUGGCGAACGGGUGAGUAAUACAUCGGAACGUACCCUGACGUGGGGGAUAACGUAGCGAAAGUUACGCUAAUACCGCAUACGUCCUGAGGGAGAAAGCAGGGGAUCGUAAGACCUUGCGCGUUAGGAGCGGCCGAUGGCGGAUUAGCUAGUUGGAAGGGUAAAGGCCUACCAAGGCGACGAUCCGUAGCGGGUCUGAGAGGGCGACCCGCCACACUGGAGCUGAGACACGGUCCAGACUCCUACGGGAGGCAGCAGUGGGGAAUUUUGGACAAUGGGCGAAAGCCUGAUCCAGCCAUUCCGCGUGAGUGAAGAAGGCCUUCGGGUUGUAAAGCUCUUUCGGCAGGGAAGAAACGGUUUUGGAUAAUACCCAGAACUAAUGACGGUACCUGAAGAAGAAGCACCGGCUAACUACGUGCCAGCAGCCGCAGUAA
rnacentral:rRNA from 1 species